rnacentral:lncRNA from 1 species
UUAAUGGAGACCGACUUGGCCUGGUGAGGAGAGCAGGGUUUCGUCUUCAGGUGUUUAGACUCAACUGUGGCUGCGGGUGCUCUGCGAUGUACAGAGAGGAAGAGAUCCCAUAUCCAAGUUGCCUUGUUCCCGCUUUGGGACAAGUUGCCCUCGCUGUCUGAUGAGGCAGGGAGAAGUAGGACUCCCUUGGCCCCAGUGAAUGUGGUGUCCUGCUCCAGGGGUGUCCCGGAGCUACUUUCCAAGUAAAGGCAAGGUGCCAAAAAAUGAGACAGAUGCCAGCACUGUGCUGUUGGACUUGCCAGCCUUCAGA